rnacentral:tRNA from 1 species
GGAACUGUGGCUCAGUGGUAGAGUAUUUGCUCAGCAUGCAUGAAGCCCUGGGUUUGAUUCCUCAGUACCA